UAAUAUGAUAAAAUAUUUGUUUAUUUUUUUUUUUAAUUAGUGAUACAAUUAACAAGACAUAGUGGGCAGAAAAAAAACAUCAAAUAAACAAAAGACAAAUUAAGCAAAUAAACAAAGAAAUAACAACAACAAAAAUAAUGAUAAACAACAAUGACAACAUCAUAUUUCAAUGAAAA